GCCGCCGUAGCUCAGCUGGUAGUUGCGACCCGAAACAACCAAAAGCAACGGACUUGUAAUCCGUCGGUCACGAGUUCAAAUCUCGUCGGCGGCUCCA
rnacentral:tRNA from 1 species